AUGCGUAGGGGGCAAGCGUUAUCCGGAUUUACUGGGUGUAAAGGGAGCGUAGGUGGUUCGGCAAGUCAGAUGUGAAAGCCCGGGGCUCAACCCCGGGACUGCAUUUGAAACUGCCGUACUAGAGUGCAGGAGAGGUAAGUGGAAUUCCUAGUGUAGCGGUGAAAUGCGUAGAUAUUAGGAGGAACACCAGUGGCGAAGGCGGCUUACUGGACUGUAACUGACACUGAGGCUACGAAAGCGGUGGGGAGC
rnacentral:rRNA from 1 species